CNCNNNNNNNANACNUNNNGAAAUCUAGUCCACAUGUCCCGGUACACCCCGGGGAGCGGUGGCUAAUACGUUUUGUGCCUCAUGGUGAAUAUUUUUUUGCUGGAGAAUAACUCGCGUCUGAAUUACUAAUUGGUGGGGUAAAAGCCCACCCUAGCGACCUUCAAUAACUGGUCUGGAAAGGAUGACCAACCCUUUUGGGACUGAAAAUCCGGGACAAAACUCCUACGGGGGGGAAUAUGGGGGAAUUUUUCCCCAUGGGGGAAAACCUGGAAGAACCCUACCCCCCGGGGGGAAAGAAGGUCUUGGGGUUGGAAACUCUUUUUCCCCAGGAAAAAAAAACCUACCGGCCCUGGGGAAUAAGCUGGGUUUAACCCCUGGGCAAAAACCCCCGUAAAACCGAAGAAGAAAAUUUUUCCGGAAUUAUUGGGCCUAAAGGGUCCCCAGGUGGCUAUAAAAAUUCUCUUGUAAAAAAUGGGGGUUCCCCUCUUAAAAGCCGUGGAAACUAACAAACCUGAGUUCCUUCGGGGGAAAGGAAUUUCUGGUUUUGGGGGAAAUGGGUUAAAAUCCCGAAAACACCCGGUGGGCAAAACCCUCGGAAAACCCUCCCGGCCCCCCCCCCAAAAAAGGGAAAAAUGGGUUUUAUCCCCGUGGACAAACGGAAGUUUUUCACGGGUAUAGGGGUUAAACCCAUGUACACAGGGGUGGGCAAAACGUUAAAAACUUUUCCACCCUGAGGGGGGGGGNACUUUUUGGGAGAAAAGCCUCUUUAUAUNGGUGNGGUACCCCCCCCCACAUUUUUUUAAAAGACACACUGGGAGACCCCCCCCCAGAAUNGGGUUUUCUCGGGACUCCGAAACCCGGGGAGUCUUUUUUUUCUUUCUUCUAAAAAAGCUCGAAAACCCUCCCCCCCCNUUUAAUCUCCAAUUUUCACCCCC
rnacentral:rRNA from 1 species